rnacentral:rRNA from 1 species
GAUGAACGCUGGCGGUAUGCUUAACACAUGCAAGUCGAACGGUCACUUCGGUGAUAGUGGCGGACGGGUGGGUAACGCGUGAGAAUCUGUCUUCAGGUCGGGGACAACAGUUAGAAAUAACUGCUAAUACCGGAUGUGCCUUUGGGUGAAAGAUUUAUUGCCUGAAAAAGAGCUCGCGUCAGAUUAGCUAGUAGGUGGUGUAAGAGACUACCUAGGCUCCGAUCUGUAGCUGGUCUGAGAGGACGAUCAGCCACACUGGAGCUGAGACACGGUCCAGACUCCUACGGGAGGCAGCAGUGGGGAAUUUUCCGCAAUGGGCGAAAGCCUGACGGAGCAAUACCGCGUGAGGGACGAAGGCUUUUGGGUCGUAAACCUCUUUUCUCAAGGAAGAUGAUGACGGUACUUGAGGAAUAAGCAUCGGCUAACUCUGUG